GCCUGUUCCCUGAGCUCACUGGGAUUCCACUGGCUGAGCGUCAGCCCCGUCAUGGAAAGAACAGCAGAGCUGGGGAGGAUUGGAUUGGUCCCCAUCCUGAACUAGAUCAAAAACACCCACCUUGUCAUAAAGCUGCUAUGAGCCUUGCAGUGGGAAGACUGGGGAGGCGACACACUAGGGUCAGGAGUGGGGAAAUUUAGGCUCCCCAGAGGAAUUAGUCACAAAGUCUUAUCCCUUCAUCUCCAUUUACAGCCACUUAUUUGGAAGCAACAAGCUCUAAAAGGGUGAAAAACAAAGCACCCCCACCCGCCCAGCAUGUGCUCUCAAGCUCACAGGAAGGAUUCUUCUCAUUUGCUUUGGGGCAUACAGGCUGCCUGCUAACAGCUGCAUCUUCCCAAGGACAAAUCACGUGGUGAAUGUUCCACAGAAGGACAGGGCUCCAGGGAACAAAAUCAGCCAUUUACUCGACUCACUUCACUAGACCUGAUCCCAUUAUACCAAAACUCUAGGAGAAGAAAAGAAACUCAGCAGAAACCAGCUACACAAAUCUGCACAAAGAGGACCUCUUGGUUGUGAGAAGUCACAGUAACCAGUGGUUGAGAAAUGAUGAAAAGGUCCUUUCACAUAAGCAUUUCCUUCAAGAAAAUCCCUACAACAUUUAACACUAUCUUGGUGUCUGCUUCUCAAGGACCAUGACUAACACAGAAGGAACAUCUGAAUUGCAUCCUGCAGGAACAAAGUGGAAGAAGCUGGACUGUCCCCUGGAUAUAAAUCAGCACCCUGAAGAUUUCUUGAGAUUAUCGCUCGAUAGAGCACCAGCUGUGUCCAGCAAGUGUCCAACAAAUGUAACAACAGUGGCUUCCAGCCAAGUGUGCAACGAAGAUUUUCGACAAGAAUAGAUUCCCCGUGGAGUCUAAGGACAAAAGUACAUAAACAUGGACUAACAUUCUGGCUGUGGCAGAGGAAAAUCCUCUUGUCCUCAAAGAGGUUCAAAGGCUCACAUGGAGAAAAGUGAGUGCUCUGUUGUUAUCUGACUCAAGGGACCGCCCCAAGAGGCUAGCAUGCUGUCCUUGCCAAGGUGGCUGGGCCUUCACCACUGGGGCCUUUGAAAUCCGACAGCAGAGAACCUCAGGGCCCCCUCCUCCCUGCUCUCCUGGGACUUCUCCGUCACAUAUUACCAGAGAACCAGCCGGUUGUGAGUCUCUGGGACAGUCUUCCACCACUCACCCACACAUGCUCACCACACUUGCUUUAUAGCAGAAGCAUCAAUGGUGCUUUAUUGAAAUUGACAUGAAAAACAACAAUGUCUCAUCUCAUCUGUUCUAGGAAAAAGCCACCAGUCGUCCUCCCUCCAAGUCACCUCAGUGCAACUGCCAGGAACAUAAAAAAUGCAAAUAUGAUCAUUUGACCCACCUGAUUAGAAACUGAGGUUAGAGAACCCCGGGCAGCAGCCUGAAGUCCCAAAGUCCUUUGCAAGGCAUUCAAGGGCUUUCACAAGCUAGCAUCAGUCCAUCUUUCCAGCAAUAGCCUCAGCUUAUCCCCAUAGAAUGUAAAUUUGCAUAGCCACUACAGAAAACAAUAUAGAAAUUGCUCAAAAAAUCAAGAAUAGAAGUACCAUACCAUCCAGCAAUUCCACUUCUGGAUAUUUAUACAAAGAAAAACACCAAUUCUAGGAGAUAUAUACACCCCUAUGUUUUUUGUAGCAUUAUUUAUAAUAGCCAAGAUAUGGAAGCAGCCUGAGUCCAUUGAUAGAUGAAUGGAUAAAGAAAAUGUGGUAUGUAUGUAGGUAUGUAUACAUAUAUAUGGAUUAUUACUCAGCCAUUAAAAAAAAAGAAUGAAAUCUUGCCAUCUGCAACAACAUGGAUAUACCCAGAGGGUAUUAUGCUAAGUGAAAUACUCUAUGAUUUUACUUAUAUGUGGAAUCUAAAACACCAAACAACAAACAGAAACAGACUCAUAGAUAUAGGAAACAAACUGUUGGUUACCGGAGGGAGAAUGGGGCUGGUUGAGGGGGCGGGGGCAGUGAAAUGGGUGAAGGGGAUUAAGAGAUACAAACACCUGGGUGGCUCAGUCGUUAAGAGUCUGCCUUCGGCUUGGGUCAUGAUCCCAGGGUGCUGGGAUCGAGCCCCGCAUCGGGCUCCCUCCUCUGUGGGAGGCCUGCUUCUCCCUCUCCCACCCCCCCGCUUGUGUUCCCUCUCUCACUGUGUCUCUCUGUCAAAUAAAUAAAUAAAAUCUUUAAAAAAAAAAAAAACUUUCAGUUGUAAAAUAAACAAGCCAUGGGGAUGUAAUGUACAGCCUAGAGAAUAUAGUCAAUAAUAUUGUAAUAACUUCCUUUGGUGACAGAGGGUAACUAGACUUACUGUGGGAAUCAUUUCAUUAUGUAUAAAAAUACUGAAUCACUAUGACGUACACCUGAAACUAAUAGGAUAAUGUAUGUCAAUUAUACUUCAAUCAAAAAAAAAAAGUUUCUCUCCAUGCCCUGUGUGUUCUGGCCUCCCCAGACAGCUCACAGUCUCCUUAAGAUAUUGCACAUUUUCAUUAUAUGUGAUUUUUCCUUUCACUAUUUAACUUACCUAAGAGCUAUCCCCACACCUCACUUCGUCCACCUGACAAACUCCCAAUGAUUCUUUGAUAAACAGCUCAAAUGUUACUCACCCCUCUGAUGCUUUCUCCAACUAUCCAAGGUCAAAUGAGCCAGCCCUUCCUUCUGUGCACCUAUGUAUUGCCUUUUGCUUAUUUUCCUAAGUCAGUAGGUGGCAGAGCCAAGACUCAAGCCAGGUCUUCUGGUUCCAAAUCUUAAGGUGUCUUUGCUAUGCUGUACUACCAGUGGAAUCAUGCUUUAAUUCAGAAUUCUUAGUGGCUGCCCAGUGGUGGGUACUCAGUAAGUGUGCAUUCAAUGAAUGAAUGACAAUGUAUAAGUAACUUCUACUAUCAUCCUCACACUCCCUCCUCCAAAGUAGAAUUUACCAAGGAAGCUUGGCUUCUUUUUUUUUUUUUUAAAGAUUUUUUUUAUUUAUUUAUUUGAGAGAGAGUGAGAGAGAGAGAGCACAAGAGGGGGGAGCGGGAGAGGGAGAAGCAGCCUCCCUGCCAAGCUGGGAGCCCGAUGCGGGACUCGAUCCAGGGACUCCAGGAUCAUGACCUGAGCCGAAGGCAGUCGCUUAACCAACUGAGCCACCCAGGCGCCCGGAAGCUUGGCUUCUUAGAUGCAUCCAACUCAUGGGGUACUAUGUAUCAUGUAAGCAUCCCGCAAUUUAGGACUACCACAACUAUGUUCCAUGUAAUUAUUCUAGUCCUCUGAUGAAGCGCAUGCUGCCUGUUUGGCCAAAGACAAGGGAAAGGAGAAAAAGAGAGUAGUGUCUAAUGUCCAGGGAGAAGCCUGGCCCAAAGAAACAUUUCCAUUUCAACUCCCUCUGAGCAUUUGAGCCCUGCAGGGGCCAGCGGCCAAGUCUGAACUGAAAGUAUCACGUGUUUGAGAGACAGAAGCCAGGGUGUCAUGGCAAUAUAAAUACAAGGACAGAUAGGACAAGCUGGCCCAAAGGAGAAACGCCAAGCCCAAGCCUUGGACCAUCCGUCUACUCUCUGUCAACGAAAAAAAAAAAAAAGUAGAGGACAAAAAGAAAAAAUAAACUUCUUAAUUUCAACUUUGUAUAAAAAAAAAAAAACUCUUCAAGAAGCAGCAAAUAAAAUCCUACAACUCACUGGGUACUGAGUAGAACAUUGAGAUACCAACCCUUCAGGGAAGAAUAAAUAAGCAAUUCAAAAUGGGGUUUCCUGCCCUCAAUUUAGAGCUUGAAGUCGUCCAUUCUGCCAGCAGUAUUCUGUCUGCCAACCUACCUGCAAAGAAAGGUGCCAUUUAAACCUUCACAUCCACCAAGAUGGCUGCCAUACAAAACCCACACUCACAAGCUCCCCUCAAAGCCUGGUUUGGAAGAAGGAAAAAGCAAAAGAAAUACUCUGGCAGGUCUUCUGGACUUUAGGAAUUCCACAAGCAAAGACAUUGCCAAGAUCUACUUGACAGGAUGUAUAGAGUUAAUAAAGUGAGUGUUUGCAGAAAUUCCAAAUUGUUAAAAAAAAAAAAAAUCUCAUGGUUUUAAAAAAUCAGUAUAGUUUGAAUGUAGGGAUAGUCAUGGUCUGCUGGAGAUGUGAUAUUAUAGAGCCUUGGGCUGUCCUCACACCCGUGCAUUUGGAAUGGCCACUCUUGAGGACUAUGAAUUAGAAGACUGGUUUAAGGCAAUAUUGUUGCCCCAUGAGGGAAGAUGCCAGCCAACAAAACACAGAAUGCCACAGCCCAAGGAACAAGGUCAGAACUGGCUUUGAUUAUAAACUGUCUAGGACAGGACUAAGUGUCUUUAGGUCCCACACAAUAUAAAUAUUUUAGAAGUUUGCGGUUGAGUUUGUUUUGUUAAAAAAGGAACUCUGGUGCUUAACUUGUUCCUUUCACAAAAAAAAAAAAAAAAAAAAUUCUACAAAUCAAAGAUGCACUAACAUCUCCCUUAUUCUUCUUCACAUGACAAGAAAAAGUGGCAUACAGAGAAGUAGAAGUCAAUGGUCCUAAGUGCUAAAAGGAAAAUUUUGUUCCCUGCUCUAAUAUCAUCAUAUUAGAGAUGUGCACUCUCCUGAGUUUCUUGGAUUGCCAUGAAUUCAUAUAGCAUGGCAGGAAUUGCAUUCUUUUAGCAAGGAGUUAUUGAGCACUCCUACUGUGAGCUAGCCAUGGUGCUUCAUGGCAGGAAUGCAAAAAUGAAUAGAAAAUGCCCCCUACUCUCAAGGGGGUCAUUAGGUGAAUUUCAUCCCGGUUGACCACUAUUGCCCUCAUUCUAGCCCGCCAGGAUCCUUGCCUUCUGCUCAUUUCCUCUCUGAUCUUACAUGACUUGAUCUGUCCCCUCCAUGUUAAUGGUUCUUGGAUCUCUAAACCCAACCCUGAUGUCUAACCCUUCGUAGCUUGUAUAAACCCAACCAUUUCAGACGGUUGUCCUACCACUGCUUCAAGCAUGAACUGAUGCAGGCACCCUACUUUCCCAAGCAGCCCACCCACCCAAACUGGCUCACCUUCCUAACCGUCCCAUUCUCUUCAAUACUAGUCCCAUUCUUUGCCCUUUAUUCCUAUCCUGUCACUGGGUCCUAGCACUUAUCCUUUAGAUUGGGUUACAGUCUUUCUCAGCUUUCAUCACGUAGGUUUAUGCCUCAUUAGCUAACAAAGUGACUGGCCUCUCUGCUCCUUCCAAAUCACUUUUGUAUGACUUGCAAGAUUUUUUUAAAGCAAUGAUCACUUUCCUAUUCAUAAAAUUUGGUGGUUUGCUCUUGCCUGUCUUAAAAAACAUACACUCUUUUAUAACUUUCUAUAGCCUGACCUUUCCCUCUCUGUACCAAUGUUAUUUCCAAUGACCCUCCUUACCCUCGACCUCUAUUCUCAUCAAGCUGGUUCCCACCUUAAUGCCUUUAUUGAGCCUGUCCUCCAUCUCACCAAAUCACAGCCAUCAUCCAUGCCACGAUUCACUUAAUCAAGUAUUCACCUAGUACCUACUGUGUAAUACGCACUAUGCUGGACCCUAGAAACAGCAGAACUGAAGUCACAGGUCUUACAUUCUACUUAAUGGGCCUUAUAUCUACUGUUGGAACAAUUAGCCAACCUCCUGAGAAAAUGCUUGAUACUUUUCUCAUACUUUAUUCUGUUAAAAAAAAAAAAAAACACCUUGGCAAAUAAUUUUUAAGUAAUUUUUGAAAAACAAUAUAAGUAUUAUAAAGUUAUAAUUGAUUGGGAAUGGAUUGCCAAAAAUUGGUAAUAUAAAUGACAGAAUAUAAAACUUAUUUAGAGUCUUAUCACCUCCCCCCAUGAAACCUGGUAAAACAAACCUGUUUCAAAGAUUUAUCCAUUACAGAAUUUUCCUUUAAAUAUCUAUGGUAUGAGUAUUAGGAGUUCAGUACUUAACUUAGGCUUUUUUGUUUUGUGCGUGAUAGCUUUUGCCCUCUGAACACUAAUAGUCUUGACAGGGACACACAGCUUUUUCUUGUAUUUCUUCUGUAGCCCUCACAAUAAGCAGGAAGGAAGCCUCACAGGUAUACCAGAGUGGAUGAAACAACAUCCAAACUCAAAAGUUUACAUUUAAAAACAGAUCUAUAUAAUUUCAAGCCUCAUCCUCAAUCUGAAAAUUCAUACCAGCAAGCUCUAUUCUCAACAUCCAUCAACAUUUUCAGCUAGAAGAAAAUCUGACUCUUGAGAUUGGCCUCCUUUUCAAGUCUUUCCUGCCCAGAAUCAUGAGCAUGGGCAAAAGAGCAGAAAAGCAAUGGAUAAUUAAUAUGUGAGCUCAAUUAUAUAGCGUCGUUUCAUUUCUCUAAACAUUUUUAUCAUUUGGACCUCCAAUGAACUUGUCACCAGAUAUCAUGUGGGCUUUUGGAGCCAAAAUCUCCAGAAGUUUUUGACAUGACUCUUAGUUUCUGACAACUAUUUUUAGUGAAAUAACAUCGCUUUUGCUUCUGUGACAUUUCCCAAAACAGCAGUAAAUCUGAGAUCAGACAGAAGGGAAUUUUAUUUUGAUGCAAACUUUUGCUCAAUGAGAGCCAACAGAUGGCCCUAUUAUGUGCAUUCAAGUCCCAAGAAAGAAGCUGGGUGAUUCAGAAGGAGUCAGGUCACACUGUGUUCUUCUUUGGGACAACAACUCACCUGGACCGGGAAAUGGGAACCAAAAAAGAUAAACAGGGUUGACUCUUAAUUUCAAACUUGGUCUCAAAGAAAUGAAAAGCCACUGAUCCACUCUAAAUGAAACGGAACAUGACAAAAAGCCAGUUCACUUCAACAACAGCCUCUGUAUUUCUAAUCCUUCCUCAGAGCUACCAAGUACAUUCUGGAAGGGCUAUUUAGAUCCAAGCUAAAGUUAGAAGGGAGUGAAAACUCUGGGAAUUCUGACUAUACAAAAUCUUGAUGCUAUUCAAAGUUUUCUCACAUUUGGGGCACCUGGGUGGUUCAGUCAGUUAAGCGUCUGCCUUCGGCUCAGGUCAUGGUCCCAGGGUCCUGGGAUCGCUCAGGUCAUGGUCCCAGGGUCCUGGGAUCGCUCAGGUCAUGGUCCCAGGGUCCUGGGAUCAAGCCCCAUGUCAGGCUCCCUGCUCAGCAGGGAGUCUGCUUCUCCUUCUCCUUCUCCCUGCCCCCUGCUUGUGUUCCCUCCUCGCUGUCUGUCAAAUAAAAUCUUGAAAAAAAUUAAAAAUAAAAAUAAAUAAAUAAAAGAUGCCAGAAAUGGCGAAUUCCAGUCUUAGGCAGAAAAAACAGGAGUCGUCAGAGGAGAAGGGGGAAGGAGAACAGCAAGAGAGCAGGGAAGAGGGAGAGAAAAAUCCCCCAGCGCUCUCUCUCACUAUCUCUCACCCUCUCUCAAAUAAAUAAAUAAAAUCUUUAAAAAAAAUUUUUUUCUCGGGGCGCCUGGGUGGCUCAGUCGUUAAGCGUCUGCCUUCAGCUCGGUCAUGAUCCUAGGAUCCUGGGAUCGAGCCCCGCAUCGGGCUCCCUGCUCGGCAGGAAGCCUGCUUUUCCCUCUCCCACUCCCCCUGCUUGUGUUCCCUCUCUCGCUGUGUCUCUCUCUGUCAAAUAAAUAAAUAAAAUCUUUAAA